CCGUUAACGAACGAGACCUUGACCUGCUAAAUAGCCCAACUCACUUUUGUGGGUUGCUGGCUUCUUAGAGGGACUUUUGGCUCAAGCCAAUGGAAGUACGAGGCAAAAACAGGUCUGUGAUGCCCUUAGAUGUUCUGGGCCGCACGCGCGCUACACUGACAGGGCCAGCGAGUACAUCACCUUGGCCGGAAGGUCUGGGUAAUCUUUUGAAACUUGAUCGUGCUGGGGAUAGUCCAUUGCAAUUAUUGGACUUCAACGAGGAAUUCCUAGUAAGCGUGAGUCAUCAGCUCGCGUUGAUUACGUCCCUGCCCUUUGUACACACCGCCCGUCGCUAAUACCGAUUGAAUGGAUA
rnacentral:rRNA from 1 species